rnacentral:rRNA from 1 species
GACGAACGCUGGCGGCGUGCUUUAUACAUGCAAGUCGAGCGAUGAAGUUCCCUCGGGAAUGGAUUAGUGGCGAACGGGUGAGGAACACGUGAGAAACCUGCCUUUCAUUCUGGGAUAACACCGGGAAACCGGUGCUAAUACCGGAUACUCCGUCUUGGCGGCAUCGCCGAGCCGGGAAAAAAUUUUGAUGAAAGAUGGUCUCGCGGCCUAUCAGCUAGUUGGUGAGGUAAAGGCUCCCCAAGGCGACGACGGGUAGCCGGCCUGAGAGGGCGGCCGACCACACUGGGACUGAGACACGGCCCAGACGCCUACGGGAGGCAGCAGUAGGGAAUAUUGGGCAAUGGGCGCAAGCCUGACCCAGCGACGCCGCGUGAGGGAUGAAGGUCUUCGGAUUGUAAACCUCUUUCAGUAGGGAAGAAGCGAAAGUGACGGUACCUAAAGAAGAAGCACCGGCUAACUAUGUGCCAGCCGCCGCAGUAA